UACGUAGGGGGCAAGCGUUGUCCGGAAUCAUUGGGCAUAAAGCGCGCGUAGGCGGCCCGGUAAGUCCGCUCUGAAAGUCCAGGGCUUAACCCUGGAAAGCGGGUGGAUACUGCCGGGCUUGAAUCCGGAAGAGGCGAGUGGAAUUCCUGGUGUAGCGGUGGAAUGCGCAGAUAUCGGGAGGAACACCAAUUGCGAAGGCAGCUCGCUGGGACGUUACUGACGCUGAGACGCGAAAGCGUGGGGAGCAAACAGG
rnacentral:rRNA from 1 species